CUCAAACUUCGGAUUUUCAAUGAUCUACCAUGUCUUUGAUGCCGUGAUGAAGUCUCUUUUGGAGACAUCUCAGUAGCCGCAUGAGUCGUGGAGCCUGAGGAUCAGCAAUCAAGGUUAAUUACCGAAAACCGGGAACUAAUUUGCUAAUUUCACAUGAGUAUUUAGGAGUUUUCUUACAUCUUAUUGUUCUAUAAAAAUUGAUAUGUU